UGAAGAUCGAUCUAUCCGUUAAAAAGAAUGGAAUGGAAUGAAGUUCGUUCUUCAAGAUCGCAUCCAAUUCAAUUAUUCCAGCUAAUAAACUACAAACAAGUGAAGCAAGGGGGAAAGGAGGUUAAAGAAGUUUGUAAAUAACAACCAAACCCAAACCCAAACCCAAACCCAAUACCAAGCAAUAAUUAAUAUAACAGUAACGCCAAUGGUAUAUAAAUUGAUACAACAUCAAUGCAAAAUUCAAAGAAUGUAAGACCUUGAGCUAAGAUCAUUCGACAUUUUCUUAAAAAAAUUAUAAUGAACAACAAUCCCCUUAUGGCUUUGCUUGGGUCUUCGAUCUCAAUUUCGAUGCUUAUGUUUCGCCUCUGUCGCCGGAGCCGGAGCUAGCUUAGAGAGGGCGAGUGCGCCGGCCACUAGCUCGGCCACAGAGCAGAGCAUUCUUCGGGAUAGGAUACUCAUCUCUGAACGAGGUUGACGUCGUGUAAACUCUUAGAUACAGUUGCUGUCCGAGGUACUGCCGA